CUCUCCCUCUCUCUCCUCUCUCUCCCCCCCCCGCCGCCGCACCAUUGUCCUCGAUGCGCGCGCCUCCCUGUUGGCUGCCGUUGUUGGAGCACGAGGUCUCGCAGUUCGUUUAUCGCCGCCGUCACCCCACCUCCCUGGAGGACGCGGUCUCCACCACUCGUGCGCGCACGCAACUCCAACACCCUCUUCCCCUCAAUGCCCCAUCGCGUCGUGCACGCCACUCCUGCCCCACGUGCCUCCCUGGGUUCGAAACCCUAGCUCCGUGCUCCAGCGGUGCGACGACGAUGGUUGCUGCUCCGGCGCUCCGGCAAAGACUGAUUGCGGUUUCAUUGCAAGCUCUGAACCCCUUCAGUCCGGUGCACAGCGGAUUAGGCUCCAAUGGGGAAGUUUCCAGCGAAGUGGAUCAAGACCACGCUCUUCUGGCGGAAGAAGUCAUUGUCGAGGUCCGGCUCCAGCAAGGCCAAGGAUUUAUUGCUAUGCAAACUUAUUUAUGUUACGGGGUGGUACUACUAUUGGAUGACUCUUUGCUUUAAAAAGUGACAAGGAAGUGGCACCUAGAAAACAAUCAGUAUGUAAAAUGAAAAGCUCUGCUAUGUACUUGUAUCAUUCUCCAAAAUACAUGUAUUGCUACAUGGAAGAUGACAUUAUAUUUGCCUGAUUUCUUUGAAAUUCCCAUGAGUUGUACUUCUAUUAUUUCUGUUUCCUCAUGUUUUAUGCUGAAUCUCAAUGCUUACUCAGUAUCUUAUACUGCCCGUGCUAAAAGGAAAUGUUUGACAUAUGCUUACUCAGUUUGUAAUAAUAUUCCAUAUAUUCAUAAUCAUAUACUGUUUUUAGAUAAUGGAGACAAAACGACCUCAUCCCUCUACUACUCGUCCUUGAAAUAUGUUGCUGUCUGUUUUCUUAUAAACAAAUUAAAAGGAAAUGUUUGAUUUCAGUUAGCAGGAGUCCAAUGUGCUGGGAAUUUAGAAACGGUUACUUUAUUCUGGAGGUAAUACUUGGAGCUGUUAUUUUUUCCCUCAUUCAAAUUCAGUAUGUUUGAUUUUCAAGAUGGCCUGCUUCUUGUAAUCAAUAACCUUAGGUUUGUUGAAGGAAACCCUCUUGCCAUUUUAACAUCAAAUGUCUAUGUGCACAAGCGUCAAGGUUCUUAACUGUAACGUAGAUGAGGAAACUGCUGCUGGGCAGCUAACCGUACUUUGCCAAAGCUAUGAGCAUAAGAAUUGGUGAUGUAGCAAUAAUGUAGAAAGGAAAAGCUGAUGUCAUCAGUGAUGGUAAAACAGUUCCCGGCCACCCUCAACGACAGCACAGGAGCUGAAUCCUGGGAUAUUGAUGGAGCGUCUGACUUCAUAUUUUCGAGGUGACUUGGAGGCAGUUUCAUCUAUAGCAAACUCUGGUCUAGAUGUAUAUGCUCACAACAUUGAAACCGUGACCAACCAUCACUUUCUGACAAGAAUCAAGAUAAGUGUAGCUCUGAAUAUGUAGUCUUUGAUCUCAUUGAACUCUAAGAUCUUCUGUGGUUCGUUGCUUCAGUUUUGAUCUCAUCUGAAUAUGUAGUCUUUGAUCCACUGGCGGCCUUGUUACGCGGGCCCACCGGCGUCCACCUUGAUCUUCAUCGACUGGCACCAUCGGAUCCACCAAAGUGCAUUGCGCUUCUGCAGCACGCUAGGAAGGGAUGUUUCUUUCAGGACAUACUUCAUUAUCUUAAAGAAAGCAAUGUUCUCUUCCACAGCUCGCGGCUCCUGAGAUCAAAGCGCAUACAGCGGCUCUGCCGAUAACAGAUCGAGCCAUGUUGACCGUGGAACAUGCCACAUCGAACUGCUACUGCUACCCUCCUUUGCUUUCAUUGGGAGCUAGCUUAUUGUGUUUAAGGCACUAAUUUUGUGUGCUUGGGGAAUGAGGACCCUAGGUGGAGGUGUCCAUGGCUAGGUCGCUGGAUACCAUGAUGUGUGAAUUUCCAUCAAAUUCAGUCAAAACACUUCUGAGUUAUGCGACCAUAUUUGUGUUCUUUGAUAAAUUUCACAAGAUUUCAUAACUACACAAUUACUUUUCAUAGGCAUAGGUUUCAUAACUACACAAAUACUAAUCACAGGCAUGUUUAGUUGAGCAAUAGAUUAACAUAACGCGACUACAAAUGUUCUUUUGUUCAGAUUACGUUGAAAUAACAAUUUAGGUUGUAGUUCUAAUCCCCUAAUAAGUAGAAUGUAGUUUGUGUUUCUAGGGCACCUAGCAGGCAAGCUUAUGUGAUCUAAUUUAAACAGGUGUACCCAGUUUCUGUGAUAAGUGGAGAGAUGUAAGUGUCUGCUCUAUAGAAACCAUUUCCUCUUGUACGACAUCUGUGGUUGCUUCUCAAGGGAUACAAUUGUAUGGGAUGCUCCUGCUGAAAUAAAGAUCAUGCCUAUAGCCCAGUUACCCCAUUGUCGUGAGUAGUCCAUGAUACCUAAUGACCAAAAGAGGAAGGCUACAUUGCUUUUACCCCAACUGGUUAAAUAUAGCUAUUUAUGUGCUCAACUCGUGAUCGGCUCUGAUGUUCAGCGUCAAGGGAACUUGCCACCAUGAUGAUUGGCUGUCUUUUGCAAACCUCAUGUCUGCGAGCCGUGUAGUUUGCCGUUCUAUGGUACGAGCUAAGAUGUUCGAUAGUCAUUAAUUCUUGAUUGUUGUGUAUGGUUCAGUAGUACUAUAAAUGUAAUGAAGGGUUGUGUAAUUUAUAGCUGAACAUAACCAUGGGAGCUACAGUGGACAUACAAAUUAUGCUAUAUGUCGAUGCUUCAUAAUUUUGUGUCAUGUUUCUAUUGGUAUAA